ACAUGCAAGUUCUGUUAAAAGUAUAGUGUGUGCCAUGGCUGACAUCAAUAGUAUUCAGCUGCCUAAAUAUACAAUGUUAGCAGUUGGACAUUACAUAGUGA